rnacentral:rRNA from 1 species
CGGGCGAUGACUACCUGCAAGUCGAGCGGAUGAAGGGAGCUUGCUCCUGGAUUCGCGGCGGACGGGUGAGUAAUGCCUAUGAAUCUGCCUGGUAGUGGGGGAUAACGUCCGGAAACGGGCGCUAAUACCGCAUACGUCCUGAGGGAGAAAGUGGGGGAUCUUCGGACCUCACGCUAUCAGAUGAACCUAGGUCGGAUUAACUAGUUGGUGGGGUAAAGGCCUACCAAGGCGACGAUCCGUAACUGGUCUGAGAGGAUGAUCAAUCACACUGGAACUGAGACACGGUCCAGACUCCUACGGGAGGCAGCAGUGGGGAAUAUUGGACAAUGGGCGAAAGCCUGAUCCAUCCAUGCCGCGUGUGUGAAGAAGGUCUUCGGAUUGUAAAGCACUUUAAUUUGGGAGGAAGGGCAGUAAGUUAAUACCUUGCUGUUUUGACGUUACCAACACAAUAAGCACCGGCUAACUUCGUGCCAGCAGCCGCGGUAAUACGAAGGGUGCAAGCGUUAAUCGGAAUUACUGGGCGUAAAGCGCGCGUAGGUGGUUCAGCAAGUUGGAUGUGAAAUCCCCGGGCUCAACCUGGGAACUGCAUCCAAAACUACUGAGCUAGAGUACGGUAGAGGGUGGUGGAAUUUCCUGUGUAGCGGUGAAAUGCGUAGAUAUAGGAAGGAACACCAGUGGCGAAGCGACCACCUGGACUGAUACUGACGCUGAUGUGCGAAAGCGUGGGGAGCAAACAGGAUUAUAUACCCUGGUAGUCCACGCCCGUAACGAUGUCGACUACCCGUUGGGUAUCCUUGAUGAUCUUAGUUGCCGCAGCUAAUGCGAUAAGUCGAUCCGCCUGGGGGGAGUACGGCCCGCCAGGAUUGAAUACUAUCACUACUGG